rnacentral:rRNA from 1 species
AUUGAACGCUGGCGGCAGGCCUAACACAUGCAAGUCGAACGAGUGGCGGACGGGUGAGUAAUGUCUGGGAAACUGCCAGAUGGAGGGGGAUAACUACUGGAAACGGUAGCUAAUACCGCAUACCAUCGGAUGUGCCCAGAUGGGAUUAGCUAGGAGGUGGGGUAACGGCUCACCUAGGCGACGAUCCCUAGCUGGUCUGAGAGGAUGACCAGACACACGGGAACUGAGACCCGGUACAGACUCGUACGUGAGUCAGCAGGGGGGAAUAUUGCACAAUGGGCGCAAGCCUUAUGCAGCCAUGCCGCGUGUAUGAAGAAGGCCUGCGGGUUGUAAAGUACUUUCAGCGAGGAGGCGUUACUCGCAGAAGAAGCACCGGCUAACUCCGUGCCAGCAGCCGCGGUAAUUC